GACGAACGCUGGCGGCGUGCUUAACACAUGCAAGUCGAACGGAAAGGCCCUGCUUUUGUGGGGUGCUCGAGUGGCGAACGGGUGAGUAACACGUGAGUAACCUGCCCUUGACUUUGGGAUAACUUCAGGAAACUGGGGCUAAUACCGGAUAGGAGCUCCUGCUGCAUGGUGGGGGUUGGAAAGUUUCGGCGGUUGGGGAUGGACUCGCGGCUUAUCCGCUUGUUGGUGGGGUAGUGGCUUACCAAGGCUUUGACGGGUAGCCGGCCUGAGAGGGGGACCGGCCACAUGGGGACUGAGAUACGGCCCAGACUCCUACGGGAGGCAGCAGUGGGGAAUAUUGCACAAUGGGCGGAAGCCUGAUGCAGCAACGCCGCGUGCGUGAUGACGGCCUUCGGGUUGUAAACCGCUUUCGCCUGAGACGAAGCGGGAGUGACGGUAAUGGGUAAAGAAGCACCGGCUAACUACGUG
rnacentral:rRNA from 1 species